CUGAGAAGCUCCCGUGCUUGUCCCACGGGUCUGCAGCUCCUGAAAUGAGCCCUGUGUCUCCUCAACCGUCCCGCCUGAAGCCCAGAGGAGCGGACCUGGAGGAUGCCUUGGCGCUCCCUCGCUGAGUCUGGUAACAGAACAGAGUCCCAACCCAGAAGACAGCCCAGGCGGGCUCUCUCUUCCUUCAGGCUGAACAUGAGUCCCACCUACAAUACCAGCAUCGGCAGGGAGCAGUGCAAGCAUCAACACCAAUGAGAAAGCAAGCAGACCAAAACCACAUGGUAUCAGCUCCCAACAUGAGACAGUCACUGGAGCUGCAGCUCAAAGUACACCAGGACCUUUGUACCAAACCUAAAAAGGAGGCAGCCCAGGAUGUGUUGAGUUCACUGACUGCACAGCCCACGUCUCUUCCAUUUGGCUGUUCAUCGUGACCUCCCAUCUCCCCAGCAUGGCCAACCCACACCGGCCUCUGUGGCCACCUCCCCAUGGCAGGCCAGGGUGGAGGCCAGCUGAGCCACUGUCCACUUCAGCCUGCGGAGGCUCUCUCUCCUGUGCUUCUCUGCACUGCUCCAGGGGUGCUAGACCGCUCUACUGCUGAGGCCAGCAUCUCAGAACACAGCUGCAGGCUCCUGACGGCACUUGGACCCAUCGCCUCCGGGACCACCGGGCAUCAGCAGCCUCGGGGCAGGGGUGUCCUCUGCACCCUUUAAUCCAGCUGCACUCCUCAGAGCUCAGGAGCCAUUCUGGACUUUUCCGCAUUUAAAUGCACUUAAAUAAUAAAGUCUACAUU